UCCACAAUAAAUGUUUGCACUUGUACAUGCAGGCAAACGAUUUUCAUAAUCUGAAUUACAUUUUUUUGGUUGUUGUUCAUCAACAAAGCUGAAAGCAUGUCUGGCUGCUUUUGUAAUCAAUGGUAAAAUAGUUCUGAUGUUCAGUGGUAAUGUAAGUAAGCUCGCAUAUUUCACUGGACAAGAUCAUUGAAUUAUUUACUGUUAGCUGCCUUUCCCUGUAAUUUCAUAACCUCUCCUCAUCCCUACUACAAUUUUUUUUUUAGUAGAAACAUUCCUUGGCAUAAACCAGAUGUACUCCUAAAAGUUGAGUGGGUUGGGAUCUGAUUGCCUAGCCUUGAUUUGGAAACACAGAUAUAUAUUUGUUUGAUCUGGCAUAGCUUCACUAGUGCCUGGGAAAAAUGACCAGCCAUACCCUGGGCCCCUCCAAAGGUUAUUGAACUACAUCUCCCACCAUCUGGCAUUAUUAGCCUUGCUGGCUAGGGUAGCUGAAAGUUGUGUUCUUCAGCAAUGUUGGGGAUGGGGGGAGGGCAUUGUGCCUCCAUAUCUUAAAAUGUAGCUCAAGAUAGUUCUUCCAGAGAUAUAAAAUAGUUGCCAAUGUGAUGCUGGGAGAUGCCUUCAAAUUUCAUUCCACAUAUCCAAGGAAAGUGUGUUUCAUAACAGAGACCUGACUAGUUCAGCUUUUCUCCAGUACUAAGGAAAGUUGGAAGUGCUUCUUUCUUUACUUGUGGCCUGUUGUCUCUUCUCUUGCAAGCAUCUUCUGGCUGCUGCCAUUGAGUCAGGAAUUACCUUGGGGGAAAAUGCUGCAUCAGGAAGAACCCCCGAAAGUGUUCAAGUUGGAGAGUGUUGCCGGAGGAACCCAGGCAACCACUGUUGCUAUGGCUACACAUUACUGGGCGAUGGUGUAGGCCUCGGGAACCGUUCUGAAAUGGACUCCUAAUUAUAGGAUGCCAAGUCACUCCCCUCAGAACAACAGCCACUCAAAAUCAGACUCAUCUUCCUUAUGUCGGAUUCCCAUUGCGGCCUCCGUGGAUCUUAAGUGCUCACUGAAUUCACGUGUUUCAAUCCGGAAGGAGUCUAAAGAGUUCAUCUGGUUUACCCUUUGUUCCAAAGGUAGUCUCUCCCUUUUUUUUAAAGUCAACAUGGUACUUUCACUUGGCAGAUAUUAUUUCGCCUCUGCAGGAAGGAGACAUAUUUUUCUUCCUCUUGAGACAGUCUGUUUCACUGCUAAUCCGUUCUCACUGUGAGGAGCUAUUUCUAAUCCUGCCUUAGCUAUUUCUAAGCCAUGCCACAGGAACAAGCCUUCAAUAUCUUUUUGUCCUGUGCUUUGCUGCAGAUUCCCAUGCAAACCGGCAGAUGGUUAUCUGGAGUAAGAGCUGGGGAAAUCUCUGCGAGUCGAGCCGCAUUUAGCAGACGCACCUCUAGGUUCUAGAAAAGAGAUGAAGACUUUCCAAGUUUAGUCAGAUGUUUUAGUUAGUAGAAGACCAAUAACUUUGUGUAAUGUUCUGCCAGUGGUUUUAUCUUUCAUAACUAUUUUCAUUCUUCUGAUUUAAAUUCAGAUUUCCCAGACUUUAUUCUAGUAUUCCUAUAGCCAUUACUCAGAAGCUGUGUCUGAAGCCAAGAUUUGGAGCUCAGAACGGGUGUGAAGUUGCAUGAAAUAAUAGAAACUAUGAUAACCUAAAACUGGCAGAGACAUCUGUUUUUCUUCAAGUGACAUUGAUCUGGGGAUUACAGCAUUUUUAAAUUACUACUACUUCUCUCAUUAUGAGCUCCAGUAUAAGUAUGUCUUGAUUAAAUGUAUAUUUAGGGAAAUGGUGGGGUUGAAAUCCUAGGGGUCAUCUAGAAAGUAAGGAACAAAGCUGCUUUUUUUAAAAUGGUCUAAUGCUGAAAUUAUUUUGUCUGUCUCCUGUAUGAUUAAUUCAGUACCUUUGCCUGGUAUCUAUCAGCAGGAGGUUAAAUAAGGCUACAGUUUGUUCUGUUUUCUCUGUUUUGGCUAUGAUGGGUUUCCUAAGAAAUCUGAUUGUUUUUCUCUCUUAGUGUUGGAGAAAUGACUGGCACCAUUCAUAACUACACUCCCAAUGUUGCCACUGAAUUCUAAAAAUGCCCCUGUCUUACAGCAGGGUAUUGUGAUGAUUUACUUAUUGUGCCUCUGCAGAGUUUUUGAAAAUACCAAAGUGGAGAAAGAAGGAAACAACUUUCUAUGGUAAAAUGGCUUUUUAUAUGGAAAUGGUAUUUUCUCUAAACAGCUGCUGGAGGACCAACCCCAUACUGGGUUUCUACCGAUGACUUUUCGCAUGCGGUCUCAUUUCUAUUUUAAACCCUCAACUUAAAUAAACUCAGCAUUUCCUUCUGUCAUUGCUAUUCUUCUUCUAGAAAACUGUAUUAGGCACUAAUUUGUCUGAACCAAAAUCAGAGACAAGCAAAGUGAGAAGAAUGGAUGGAUAUAGACCCACGGCAGUGGAGGGAAACUCUUGUGAAUGAAUCACUGAACUUGCUGAAGAGAUGCCCUAAAGCUGCCAGUCAUAUCAUUCAUCUGCUUUGAAAAGCCAUGGAAUGCUUUGCCAGCCUACCCAAACUCUUGCGCAAUCUUUGGAUUGAUCCUAAUGAAGACUUAAAAAAAAAAAAAAAAACAGGAGCUGCAGGGUCUGAAAUCCUGGAGUUAUGAACAGCAGGGAUCCUAAUUCAGCUAUCCUCUGUUUCCAAGGCAGCCUGUGAUCCUGCAAAUCUUACUGAACUUUGAUUCCCAAGAUCUUUCCUCAAUGAGAAUGCUGGAUGAGUAUGCCAGGCGUUGUAGUUCAGCAACAUUUCAAGGGGCACAAAUUCCCAACAUGUGGCAUUUGGUCUAGGAGAUGCCAUCUUCCCAUGGGGGAAAAGCCACAGCACGGGAUCAUCUUAAAUUCUGUUUUUUCAAGAAGACUGCAGAAGCGUCCCAGGAUACAACAGAUUUGCUAACUUUGUCAAGGCUCCACUUUCUGGA